UGAUCGACUUCUCUUGCUGAAUUGCCCAU
rnacentral:piRNA from 1 species